UAUACUUGAAAUGUCAUGAAUCCUCUUCAAAGAGAGGAGUGCCUUUGGGAAUGUGGACACAUGUGGUGCAUGGCUGUCGUCAGCUCAUGUUGUAAGGUUUUGGGUUAAGUUCCGCAACGAACGCAAUCCUCAUGUUUAGUUUCUAACAUCAAGUGACUUAUUUCUUAAGUUUA
rfam:Lupinus angustifolius cultivar Tanjil chromosome LG12, whole genome shotgun sequence.